AUUGAACGCUGGCGACAUGCCUUACACAUGCAAGUCGAACGGCAGCACGGGUGCUUGCACCUGGUGGCGAGUGGCGAACGGGCGAGUAAUACAUCGGAACAUGUCCUGUAGUGGGGGAUAGCCCGGCGAAAGCCGGAUUAAUACCGCAUACGAUCUACGGAUGAAAGCGGGGGACCUUCGGGCCUCGCGCUAUAGGGUUGGCCGAUGGCUGAUUAGCUAGUUGGUGGGGUAAAGGCCUACCAAGGCGACGAUCAGUAGCUGGUCUGAGAGGACGACCAGCCACACUGGGACUGAGACACGGCCCAGACUCCUACGGGAGGCAGCAGUGGGGAAUUUUGGACAAUGGGCGAAAGCCUGAUCCAGCAAUGCCGCGUGUGUGAAGAAGGCCUUCGGGUUGUAAAGCACUUUUGUCCGGAAAGAAAUCCUUGGCCCUAAUACGGUCGGGGGAUGACGGUACCGGAAGAAUAAGCACCGGCUAACUACGUG
rnacentral:rRNA from 1 species